GAUGGACGCUGGCGGCGUGCCUAACACAUGCAAGUCGAACGGAGUCCAGCCUUUAAGACCUUCGGGUCAAAGAGGGGAAGACUGAGUGGCGGACGGGUGAGUAACACGUGGGCAACCUGGCUCAUAGAGGGGGAUAACAGAGAGAAAUUUCUGCUAAUACCGCAUAAGCACACCCUGCCGCAUGGCAGAGGGUGAAAAGAGAAUCGCUAUGAGAUGGACCCGCGUCUGAUUAGCCAGUUGGCAGGGUAAGAGCCUACCAAAGCGACGAUCAGUAGCCGAUCUGAGAGGAUGAACGGCCACAUUGGGACUGAGACACGGCCCAAACUCCUACGGGAGGCAGCAGUGGGGGAUAUUGCACAAUGGGGGGAACCCUGAUGCAGCGACGCCGCGUGAGUGAAGAAGUAUUUCGGUAUGUAAAGCUCUAUCAGCAGGGAAGAUAAUGACAGUACCUGAAUAAGAAGCCCCGGCUAACUACGUG
rnacentral:rRNA from 1 species